UCCUGUGCUGUGGGCAGUUUCCAGUUUGCUCUGUGUGCUGCUGUACUGGGGACCUCAGAAGAGGUAUUUCAGCACCUUAGCUCAGGCAGGGCAGGGGUGGCAGGUCCUACUCCCUGUGGGACAUGGAGAUCCAUUUGUCUCUUCUGGGAGACCUUCAAAAGACCUUGAAGGACAUCUCUUCAGGGCCUCACUCUCAAAUGAAGAAAGGGUCCUUUUCCUGAAGCAGAGCCGUGCGGUUUGCAGCUCACCAAAUCCUCCC